ensembl:snRNA U6 U6 spliceosomal RNA
AUGCUUUCUUCAGCAAAGUAUAUAUACUGAAAUUAGAACAAUACAGAGAAGAUUAGCCUCGCCUCUCUGCAAGGAUGACAUGCAAAUUCGUAAAGCAUUUCCUAUCUUA